GACGAACGCUGGCGGCGUGCUUAACACAUGCAAGUCGAACGGAAAGGCCCUGCUUUUGUGUGGUGCUCGAGUGGCGAACGGGUGAGUAACACGUGAGUAACCUGCCCUUUACUUUGGGAUAACUUCAGGAAACUGGGGCUAAUACCGGAUAGUAGCUCCUGCUGCAUGGUGGGGGUUGGAAAGUUUCGGCGGUUGGGGAUGGACUCGCGGCUGAUCAGCUUGUUGGUGUGGUAGUGGCUUACCAAGGCUUUGACGGGUAGCCGGCCUGAGAGGGUGACCGGCCACAUUGGGACUAAGAUACGGCCCAGACUCCUACGGGAGGCAGCAGUGGGGAAUAUUGCACAAUGGGCGGAAGCCUGAUGCAGCAACGCCGCGUGCGGGAUGACGGCCUUCGGGUUGUAAACCGCUUUCGCCUGUGACGAAGCGUGAGUGACGGUAAUGGGUAAAGAAGCACCGGCUAACUACGUG
rnacentral:rRNA from 1 species